rnacentral:sRNA from 1 species
AAAAGUUGCGGGGCAUAGAGGAGCGGCCCCGGGACGGGCAGCUAGCGCGACCCUGAGCCGGCGCCCGUGGUCCGGCCAUGGACGACCUCGGCUCUGAGGAGUAGAUUCAGCAGACAGGACUGAUGGACCUCUACCAAGCAGCGCCGGGCACUAAGUUAAGACUGGCUAUUUGUAGACGCCCUGCUGGCGGACUUGGAGUCUACCACCUCCCACAUCUCCAAACGGCCUGUGUUCUUGUCGGAGGAGACCCCCUACUCAUACCCAACUGGAAACCACACAUACCAGGAGAUUGCCGUGCCACCCCCCGUCCCCCCACCCCCGUCCAGCGAGGCCCUCAAUGGCACAAUCCUUGACCCCUUAGACCAGUGGCAGCCCAGCGGCUCCCGAUUCAUCCACCAGCAGCCUCAGUCCUCAUCACCUGUGUACGGCUCCAGUGCCAAAACUUCCAGUGUCUCCAACCCUCAGGACGGUGUUGGCUCUCCGUGCUCCCGAGUGGGUGAGGAGGAGCACGUCUAC